AGGGGUAGAGCUCAGUGGUAGGACGCGUGCUUGGCAUGCAGGAAGUCCUGGGUUCAAUUCCCCAGUACCUCCA
rnacentral:tRNA from 1 species